rnacentral:rRNA from 1 species
UACGUAGGCAGCGAGCGUUGUUCGGAAUUACUGGGCGUAAAGAGUGUGUAGGCGGUGCUCUAAGUUCGGUGUGAAAUCUCCUGGCUCAACUGGGAGGGUGCGCCGGAAACUGGAGUGCUUGAGCGUGGGAGAGGAAAGCGGAAUUCCUGGUGUAGCGGUGAAAUGCGUAGAUAUCAGGAGGAACACCUGUGGUGUAGACGGCUUUCUGGAACGGUACUGACGCUGAGACGCGAAAGCGUGGGGAGCGAACAGG